rnacentral:rRNA from 1 species
CGGGUGAGUAAUGCCUAGGAAUCUGCCUGGUAGUGGGGGAUAACGUUUCGAAAGGAACGCUAAUACCGCAUACGUCCUACGGGAGAAAGCAGGGGACCUUCGGGCCUUGCGCUAUCAGAUGAGCCUAGGUCGGAUUAGCUAGUUGGUGAGGUAAUGGCUCACCAAGGCGACGAUCCGUAACUGGUCUGAGAGGAUGAUCAGUCACACUGGAACUGAGACACGGUCCAGACUCCUACGGGAGGCAGCAGCA